UGCUCACCAAAGCAAACCUCUUUUUGUGUGUAUUCAGUGUCUUAACUAUGUAAAAGACAACUAUAACAGGGUGUACAGUGCUGUUUCUGAAAUUGACGAAUCCUCUUGUGAUGAAGAUUGAAGAAGCUAUUGCCAUCCAAGUGGAAAAAGUCCCGCCUUUGUCACCCUCCUCGAAUAGAACUAAGAAAAUGUGGAGACUUUCUUCAUUUAGUUCCAAAUCAAGUGGACCAGAUGUUGAUUUGUUUGAAAUGGACUGAGACUUGUGUUUCAUAUGCCAGGUUGAACAGACGUUAGAAACGAAAAAGGAUAGUCUGAUUCAAGGAAAAGAUAAUAGUUUCUUCGUCGAUUUCGCAACAUACUAUCUGUGGACAUCUACAGAAAUCGUCAGGAUCUGUGCAACAUCGAUGUUAAUCCUGAUUCGCACAUGAACAAGUGCCCUGUUCUUAACCCUGAGAGUCUCGGAAAAUAUCUCUAUAGCAAGCUAGGUAGAUAUCACAAAACAUGUCGUUUGAGGUACAGCAACUCGAGGGUGAAACAAUUGAAGGGUAAAUUAUCUGAAGCUGUAAGUUUAAAACCUGUCUCUAAGGCAGGUUUUAAAAUGGAAAGACACGUGUCCACGCACGCCAACACCAAUGCUGCAUUAAUGAGUGCAGGUAUUGAUACGGACCUUUUAACUGGAGCAGGAGAAUGUUUUACCAGAACUGUACCUCGUGUCUGACCUGAAGCUUAAGUACAAUGACUAUGUGACGUCUAAUUUAUCUGAGAACGCUGCAAACUCCAGCAAUGUUUAAUCUGAUCACAUCAGUUUUCAGAAAGACAAUAUCGGUAAGACGAGUUUGUUUCGACAGCAGGAUCGUAUCUAAUCUUGCCGCAACAAUAGAUGCGGAUAGAGAUGAUAACACUUUAACAAAGGCAGCACUCUUAAAGGAGAUUAGAAAAGAAAUCUUUCAAUGUAGAAACGAAUUCUAUCAGAAGAUUUAUCUUCAAAAACAUGUUCGAUUUACUGAUCGGACUGUAGAAAUAUAGUGUUUAUGUGGAUUAAUCUGUUAAAGCAGGGCUAUUGUAUCAUUUUAACAUUAACUUUGCAUAGUGAUGAUACGUUUAUUGUGUCUCUUGUGAUUAUCUAUUUCUACAG